CAGUCGCCGCGGUAAUACGGAGGAUCCAAGCGUUAUCCGGAAUCAUUGGGUUUAAAGGGUCCGUAGGCGGUCUUGUAAGUCAGUGGUGAAAGCCCAUCGCUCAACGGUGGAACGGCCAUUGAUACUGCAGGACUUGAAUUAUUGGGAAGUAACUAGAAUAUGUAGUGUAGCGGUGAAAUGCUUAGAGAUUACAUGGAAUACCAAUUGCGAAGGCAGGUUACUACCAAUUGAUUGACGCUGAUGGACGAAAGCGUGGGUAGCGAACAGGAUUAGAUACCCCCGUAGUCCCUGUCCUUAUACA
rnacentral:rRNA from 1 species